CCUACGGGGGGCAGCAGUGGGGAAUAUUGGACAAUGGGCGAAAGCCUGAUCCAGCCAUGCCGCGUGUGUGAAGAAGGCCUUCGGGUUGUAAAGCACUUUCAGUGGGGAAGAAAGCCUUGGGGCUAAUACCCUCGAGGAAGGACAUCACCCACAGAAGAAGCACCGGCUAACUCCGUGCCAGCAGCCGCGGUAAUACGGAGGGUGCGAGCGUUAAUCGGAAUUACUGGGCGUAAAGCGCGCGUAGGCGGUCUGAUAAGCCGGUUGUGAAAGCCCCGGGCUCAACCUGGGAACGGCAUCCGGAACUGUCAGGCUAGAGUGCAGGAGAGGAAGGUAGAAUUCCCGGUGUAGCGGUGAAAUGCGUAGAGAUCGGGAGGAGUACCAGUGGCGAAGGCGGCCUUCUGGACUGACACUGACGCUGAGGUGCGAAAGCGUGGGUAGCAAACAGGAUUAGAUACCCUUGUAGUC
rnacentral:rRNA from 1 species